CACGUCUGUGACUGGCGCUUCACUGGGAGGGGCGUGAGGCAAGGUAUAGCAAAUCUCCCUAGCAACAAACAUAGAAACGGAAAAAUAAACUUUGGAUGCACAACAUUCAAUUGAUUUCACAAGUUGCUGGGCUGGCUGCAUGAUGGAAAGCAAUCAGAGGACAGCUGAGCCCGCCAAGAGGGGAUGCCAGCCAGAUUAAAGACUUCCACCCGCCGGAGCUGUCUCUGAAGGUGAGGAGGAGAAAUGGCCCAUUGCUGGAGGGCACGUAGAUUUCAGGAGGCAGCCGCCCUGCCAAAGCUUUCUGAGUGACAUUGGGAUACAAAAUUUGCAUACAGAAGACGGAAAAUGUUUGGAGGAUAAAAAUAAGGAGGAGUAACAUGAUCCUCAGUUCAGAUCUUCCUCGAAGUAUUGAAAAAAACCAGAAGGAAAGCAGAGGCAAAGCUUCCAACAAUACUGUGUAAGUUACACAGUAAAAGUCUUCAGGAGCACAUGUCUUUGAAGUACCAUGGGGAAGACUCAAUCCUAUUACAGCCCUCCUG
rnacentral:lncRNA from 1 species